rnacentral:rRNA from 1 species
UGCGGUGACGAUACUUGUAGGGGGAGCCCUGCGGGAAAAUAGCUCGGCGCCAGGAU